rnacentral:rRNA from 1 species
UCAGAACGAACGCUGGCGGCGCGUUUAAGCAUGCAAGUCGAACGGGAUCAUUCCUUCGGGGAUGUGAGAGUGGCGAACGGGUGAGUAACACGUGGGUGAUCUACCGCUUGGCGGGGGAUAGCCCAUGGAAACAUGGGGUAAUACCGCAUACGACCGAUCUGCUGUGGCGGGUUGGGGAAAGGCGCUUAGGCGUCACCGAGCGAUGAGCCUGCGGCUGAUUAGCUGGUUGGUAGGGUAACGGCCUACCAAGGCAACGAUCAGUAGCCGGCCUGAGAGGGUGAUCGGCCACACUGGGACUGAGAUACGGCCCAGACAACUACGGUUGGCAGCAGCUAAGAAUCUUCCGCAAUGGACGAAAGUCUGACGGAGCGACGCCGCGUGGGCGAUGAAGGCCGUGAGGUUGUAAAGCCCUUUUCUAUCGGAGGAAUAAGCCUGGGAGGGAAUGCCCGGGUGAUGACGGUACGGUAGGAAUAAGCCCCGGCCAAUUACGUGCCAGCAGCCGCGGUAACACGUAAGGGGCGAGCGUUGUUCGGAAUUAUUGGGCGUAAAGGGCACGUAGGCGGCACGGUAAGCCUGGUGUGAAAGACCGCAGCUUAACUGCGGAGACGCGCUGGGAACUGCCGAGCUUGAGUGCUGGAGGGGGAGCUGGAAUUCCAGGUGUAGGGGUGAAAUCUGUAGAUAUCUGGAAGAACACCGGUGGUGAAGACGAGCUCCUGGCCAGAUACUGACGCUGAGGUGCGAAAGCGUGGGGAGCGAACAGGAUUAGAUACCCUGGUAGUCCAACGCCGUAAACGAUGUGCAGUAGGUGUAGGGUUCAUU